rnacentral:rRNA from 1 species
UACGUAGGUGACAAGCGUUGUCCGGAUUUACUGGGCGUAAAGAGCGCGCAGGCGGUCGUUCAAGUCGAGUGUGAAAGCCCCCGGCUCAACUGGGGAGGGUCAUUCGAUACUGAUCGACUCGAAGGCAGGAGAGGGUAGUGGAAUUCCCGGUGUAGUGGUGAAAUGCGUAGAUAUCGGGAGGAACACCAGCGGCGAAGGCGACUACCUGGCCUGUUCUUGACGCUGAGGCGCGAAAGCUAGGGGAGCAAACGGG